AAUAGAAUUGCGCCGGUUUUGCUUGGAGUCCUGUAAAUGGAGGGGCCAAUAAACUUAAGUUCUUGGCAAACGCUUCUGUUCGAUACGAUUUUAUGCAUAAAGGAAAGCUUUUUGCCCAUUGAUACGGUUUACCGUAAUAAAACGGCGAGACAAUGCAGGGUACAAUUAUAGAAAAUUUAAGCGGCAAGAAACUUUCGGUAUUGGUAAUAUUAUUAAUCGUUGCACAAAUCGUUUGCUUUUUAAUAGGCGGCCUAAUAGCACCAACACCUGCUACAAGUCAAAAUAUAUUAAGUACACCUUGUAAGGAUAUACGAAUUAAUGGAACUGAACCUGGUGCAGGAAAAUGGUUUUAUUCAAGGGGCAAAGGUUCUUGUACUCAUGUUGAUAUAAAUCAUUUUAGUUUGGAUAGCCAUCAUCAAGCACAUCAGGUGGUCUAUACAUUUCAGAUGCCUUCUCCACGUAGUAGCUUGCAAUUGGAUUAUUCUAGAUGGCAACAAAAUCUUAUAGGAGUCUUACAGGUGGAUAUUGUAUAUCACAGUCAAAUUCAAAUUGCACCUAGAACUAAAAUAACUCUGGAUUCAAGACUUGCUUAUAGGAACAAAGAAGAUCCAGAUGGUGCAUGGAAGCCAUACGCUUCUUCUAUAAUAGAAAGGAUCUUGGAUUGUAGCAUCGAUGAUGCAAUGGAACAAUAUAACUAUAAUUGCAAUGUUGUACCUUUGUUUGAAUUAGGAUCGUUGUUUCAUGAUUAUUAUUUGUUGAAUAUUCGUAUUCCUGCUGAUACUGAUAGGAACAUUAAUCAAGGUUUAGGACAUAUAACAGAUCUGUGGCUUACUGCCAUUAAUCAAAAUGGUGGAUUUACAAAAGUAUGGGUAAGCCUUAAAACUGUUUUUUUCCCGAUUGUAGUCAGUGUUUUGAUAUGGUACUGGAGAAGAGUUCAUAUGUUAUCAAGAUCACCUGCCCUUUUGGAAUAUAUGCUCUUGGCUUUAGGAAUGGCAUUAACAUUUUUAAAUUUGCCUGUGGAAUAUUUAACUCUUGCAUAUGAUAUGCCAUUUAUGCUUCUUUUGGGCGAUAUCAGGCAAGGAAUAUUUUAUGCAACGCUUUUAUCUUUUUGGCUUGUCUUUGCCGGGGAACAUCUUAUGAUUCAGGAGGGUGACCAAAGAAAUUCUUUAAAAUGUUAUUGGCGUCAUUUAUCUGCUGUGGGUAUAGGAUGCUUGUCAUUGUUUAUCUUUGAUAUGUGUGAACGUGGAGUACAAUUAAGAAAUCCAUUCUAUUCAAUAUGGGUCACAGAUCUUGGUACUAAAAUGGCAUUAUCUUUUAUAAUUUUGGCUGGAAUAUCAGCUGGUGUAUAUUUGAUAUUUUUAACUUAUAUGAUAUGGAAAGUCUUUAUGAAUAUAAGUGCAAAAAGAGCUACUUUACCAGUUAUGAGUUCGGCACGUCGUUUACAUUACGAAGGUGUGAUAUAUCGUUUCAAGUUUUUAAUGAUUGCUACAUUAUUAUGUGCUUCAUUAACUGUUAUCGGAUUUAUUCUUGGUCAGGUUGCAGAAGGACAAUGGAAAUGGGAUGAGGAAAUAGAAUUACAAAUGACAUCUGCCUUUUUCACUGGAGUUUAUGGCAUGUGGAACAUUUAUACUAUUGCAUUAUUAUGUCUGUAUGCACCAUCUCAUAAACAGUGGCCGAUCGAACCAUCUGUUUGGAUCGUUCAACCAUUUUGGAACAUUCGACAAGCUAAGCGAGACUCUUAUCUAUCUUCAUGUUAUACGUAAUGUUAUUAUUUUGUUUAUCGUUUUUCUAAACGUUGAUACAUAUUUAAGUUAACGUCGCUAAUAUAACGUAACAUAAUGUAAUGCAUGAUGGAUUUUACAUUAGUUAUUGAAAUGGGCGUUUAUUUGGCAAUAUUGUUGCUUACAAAAUCUUCAAUCGAUUGAUUUUUUUCACGCUAUGAAACAUAAUGCAUUCUACGGUAUUCAAUUGAGAUCAAAUAUAAAUAAAUUGUCUUCAAUCUGAAGAGAAAAUACACGGAAACGUGUUUUUUUCCAUAUCGUGCUGAAGUCAAUUUCUCCACUAUUUUUGGUAAGUCAUUGAACGAUUUAAAUUAAAAAUAUAUAUUACAUUUGCAUAACGUUGCAUUAUUCAUUAUUUAUUAAAAGUACGGAUCGGUAUUCAGAUCGAAAUCAUACCUAAAAUGUUCGAUUCUUAUUGUAAAAAAAAUGAAACGUUUCUUCGUGUAUAAAAUGAAAAGAAAUAUCGUAUAAGAAUAUCGUUAAGUAGAAUGGAUAAAAUUAUUUGUCAGUAAAAUUAAGGUGUAAAAAAUUUCGAGAAUCAAGUCAACAUCGAUAUAACAUGACACCGAGAAGCUUGAAAAGCCCGCCUCUAUUGAAACAAGAUGGCGAUUAGAACGGUUCGAGCGCCAUCUCGUCGUGGCAGAGCGAAAGAGAAAGAAAGAGAGAGAGAGAGCGAGAGUGGAAUGACGUGAGGGGAGGGGUAAGAAGGAGAGUCCAGUACGUCGAGGAGAGAGCAGUAUCGCAGAUGCAGUGAAGUCGUCCGUAGGUUGACAGGUUGUGCGUGAAUACAUAUGUAAGGUGGAAAAUGGGUACUAGUCCCGUCUUCCUUUUUCCUGCCAUCAAGCCAUCCCUGUACGUUUUCCUCGCAGGAAGUAACAACGAGAGAAGGGCUCUAUCGCGGACGACAAAGAGACGUUGAAGUCACGAUAUAUACAAAAAGGGUGCCUCAAUCGUAAUUCGAACGACGAUAUGAUACAGUCAAUGCGACGAAAAUUCAUGCGAUCGACCACUGUGAAGAUACAACAAAACUUAAUUGAAAACCCGUGAUUGUUCGAAGUCUCAUCAUCAUUGCAUCUUCGAAUUACAUAAGAUGUCAUAUGUGUUUUUGGAUGUUCCAUGAAAUAUUGGAAAAGAAAAAACAAAAAAAAAAAAAAAAUAAAACAAAAAAAAAAGUUCAAACGAUCUUGUCGGGAGAUUCGACGGUAUUCACUGAGAAAAAUAUUUCGAGAUAUAGUUUACGAGAAGGUGAUGGGGGAGGGGUGGAGGUUGUGGAUAGUUGGGGGGAGGGGGACUUGUGGGAGUGUUGGAUAGGAUCGGGGAAAAGGGGAAAAGUAGGUAAAGCAAUCGAUAAACUGUGAUCUGCUAAUUUCUGUAUCGAAUCAUUAUACAAAAAGGAAAAAAAAAAAAAAAAUAGAAAAUUAAACAUCCUAUCAAGUCUGUAAUAAUAUUCGCUAUUGUGCAUAACUAUUAAGAUGCAUUUCAUUAAGGCAAAUGAUUGUUUCAUUUUUUCUUUUUUCUUUUCUUUGUCGCGAAUUAUAAAAAAAAAAAAAAAAACAAAAAAAAAAAAAAAAAAUACAAUAUUUGUAACAUCUUCCACGUCGUAUAGUAAAAAUCAAGCCAUUUUCGGAUAAACAGGAUAGUUAUAUCAUAUUACCGGAGUCUCCUUUUUGCAUAAAAGAAAAAAUAUUGAUAUUUUUUGAGAAUGAAAAAUAAUUCCCGAAGCACAUUUCUAAAAAAUUUUCAAAGAUCACUCGAAGGUGUUUUAGGCCCUUGGAUGUUUUUGCAUAGUCGUUAUAUACUUUUUAUCAAUCGAAUGCUUUAAGUAUUUGAGAAUCCUUGAUAAUGUUGAGAAACCUCAGGGAUCUUAUGUUCAGUAUCUCAAAGAUUUUUCGUGAUAAGAAUUGAAAGCAUGGGCAAGAUGUGUUACCGAAGGGAAAGAAUAUAUACAUAUAUAUAUAUAUAUAUAUAUUACGUGAGGUAUAAAAAUAGUCAAUUUUUUCUAAUUGGUAAAGAAAAUUUGGAAAAAAGAAAAAUGAAUAAUAUAGGAUAUUAAUGCCAAAAACAGAGCAGAUUCGAUUUGAAAACCGAAUAUGUACAAAUUAUGGUGCACAAUAAUCGUUGACGGAUAAUAGUAUUUUGUUCUAAACUGAUCUCUCCUCUUUGUUUAAUUCAAGUUCAAUAAAAGCAAAAAAAAAAAAACAAAAAAACGAAAAAAAAAACAAAAAAAAAAAAGAAAUGAUUAACUUUAUACGAGAGACACGUAUAGCCAUGGUAUUUUAGUGCCUUUCGUGGGCAGAGAAAUGUGCCUUAUUCUAUGGGUCUCAUGAAAGAAUUGCUUACAAAAACUAAUAAGAAGAACGAGAUAAUUGUUCUAUGUUAAUUGAUUCUGUUAUUUUACAUUUUUUACGUUAUUUAAAUUGCUUGCUAAAUUGUAGUGUGAUAUAUCAUUAUUGGCAAUUUAAUUAUGAAUUAGUCGUACGCUAUAUGAACAUUUCUAACAUUAUAAUAGAUAUUUUAUAUUGAUUCUAUUUAAUGUGAUAAUUAAAAAAUUGAAUUGAAAUGAAAAUAAGAAAUUGUAUUUAUGCUCGGAGUAAUUUUUUGAAAUUCAUUAUUGAAGCUUAUAUAAAAACGGAGAGAGAGCUAUUAUUAAAAGAAUGAAAAGAUAAUUCAAUUAAAAUUUUGUCGUGUUUAUUUUUGAAAUAUAAAAACAACGCGUAGAUUCAUUUCAUUUUAUUAAUUUUUAUCACACACACACACACACACAUACACACACAAAUAUUAUAAUAAAUUUAGAGUAAUAUUAUUAUAUUAUAUUGCUUCUCUCUUAUGUGAGUGCAUCCAUCGAAGUGGAUUUUUGAUUUUAUUUAUGAGCGCAUAACUCUUUGUUGAUAUAUGUAAUCAAUUCGAAGGAAAAAAGAAAAAGAAAAAGCAAAAAAAAAGAAAGAAAAGAAAAAAAAAUUAAUAAUUGGAAAAAAUGAUUUUAUACAUCGAUCGAAAAAUAAAAUUUGAUAAAAUUUCUUAUAUUCGCAUUAACAAUUAAACUCCAUAUAUGUAUGUCGUAUAUUUUUCAUCCAACGUGGAUUGCGCUCAUAUUUUAAGCUUUAUAUUUUGCCUUUCGUAUAAGGAAAAACAAAUGGAUAUUACUCGACCUUAUUAUAAAAAUUAAUUAUUUAAGACCUUCGUGAGUAUGGAAUCAUUAUCGAUGAUUUAUUUUCACGGUGACGCGAACGGCAAUGUGUAAUUCGUUAUUUUGAAAUGUCGAUUAUUAAGAGAUUAAGUAGACGAAUAUGGCUUUAUACUUUUUGGAAAUAUCAUAUAAAAAUAGAUUUCUUUUAUUUUUUAUUAUUAUUACUAUUAUUAUUAUUAUUAUUAUUAUUAUUAUUAUUAUUAUUAUUAAUAUUAAUAUUAUUAUUAUUAUUAUUAUUAUUAUUAUUAUUAUUAUUAUUAUUAUUAUUAUUAUUAUUAUUAUGAAUAUUUCUUUUUUUUUGUUGUUCUAAAUUAUACGCCGUCUUAUUUUUGCUGUUAUUUCUAUUGCAUUUUGUCAUUGUACGUUGAUAUAUGUUACAAAAUUGGAUAAAAACCAUAUGCGUUAUUAGGAAGAUUUGCUGCAUUUGUCGUCUUUGCACCUGUGUCCAUCCUAAAUGCAAAUUUGACGAAAAGCGAAGAAAAUAUUAUUACAUCGGGAAAUAAUUUGAAAAUAAAUGUCAAGAGAGGGAAAGUUAUGAGAGACGAUUAUAAAAAUGUGUAUUAGAAUGUACAUUAUAAUUUCUUUCGUAUCAUUUCUAAUGUUGAAUGUUUUCUUUGUGCGUUAUUACGAUACAUAGUUGCUUUUAUAUGUCAAUUUAUUUUCACAUUCUCAACGUGAAUGUCAAUUAAUUUUAUAUUAUUGAGAGAUUUCAUUGAAAACGAGAAAGAAAACACAUUACGGAGUAUUUGCGUCUAAUCAACAGGUCGAAGUGAUCGAGGUGAAGUCACGUUUUAAGAUCUCAUAUUAUCAUUAUACAUGUAUCAUAGAAUUAACUAGAUAUGUAUAGUAGUUAUCAUAUUCGCAUGACUCUACUGAAAAUAUGUAGUUUUUACUAACGAAUGUUCAUUUAAGUAAACGAAUAGUUUUAAUAA